rnacentral:rRNA from 1 species
UGGGGAAUAUUGCACAAUGGACGGAAGUCUGAUGCAGCAACGCCGCGUGCGGGAUGACGGCCUUCGGGUUGUAAACCGCUUUUUCUCAUGACGAAGUUUUUUGACGGUAGUGGGGGAAGAAGCACCGGCUAACUACGUGCCAGCAGCCGCGGUGAUACGUAGGGUGCGAGCGUUGUCCGGAAUUAUUGGGCGUAAAGAGCUUGUAGGCGGUUUGUCGCGUCGAUAGUGCAAACUCAGUGCUUAACGCUGAGCCUGCUGUUGAUACGGGCAGACUAGAGGAAGGUAGGGGAGAAUGGAAUUCCCGGUGGAGCGGUGGAAUGCGCAGAUAUCGGGAGGAACACCGGUGGCGAAGGCGGUUCUCUGGGCAUUUCCUGACGCUGAGAAGCGAAAGCGUGGGGAGCGAACAGG